UCCCGCCGUGGCCUGGUGGGAAAGACACACCAGGAAGGGGACAGCACUACAGAGGUUUCUGUCUGGCCUGUGAGCUUCUCCCCAAGCUGCCUGCUCCCUCCUUGGAGCCCAGGACACAGAAUUGUUCAGCUUGGACCAACCAAGCGCCGGCAGCCUCCUGAGCCUCACUGGCGCUCAACACACAUUUGCUGCUUUGGAUUCUCCACGUUUGUUGACUUCUCGAUUUCUGCAUUUCCUCUGUUCUUCCUCAGCAACAUCACCCUCAACCCCAAUAAGCAAGGACCCUCCUUUGCAGGGGUAGGAGAGAGGAAAGGGGAGAUUGGGCUAAUUACAGCAUCUGGAGGAAGAUAAUUGGACACAGGCAUGGUUUAUGGGACUCCCAGGAUUUGCACAGUAUCGUCGUGCAAGAGCUUGGAGGAAGUGACUCAGCCAUGAACUAAACACACUCCGGUGAGGGAGACAGAUGUGUGCCCAACUAUAACUCAAGACAGAAUGGCAAACAUUGAAUCCAAACAUUGAGUGAGUGACAUUCUAGACCUUUGCUGUCCAGUAUGGCGAUCACUAGCCACACGCGGCUAUUUAAAUUUAAAAUAACUGAACUUAAAUAAAAUUUAAAAUUCAGUUCCUGGGUCACAAU